GACGAACGCUGGCGGCGUGCUUAACACAUGCAAGUCGAGCGGUAAGGCCCUUUCGGGGGUACACGAGCGGCGAACGGGUGAGUAACACGUGGGUGACCUGCCCUCAGCUCUGGGAUAAGCCUGGGAAACCGGGUCUAAUACCGGAUAUGACUCCAUGACGCAUGUUGUGGGGUGGAAAGCCUUGUGCGGCUGAGGAUGGGCCCGCGGCCUAUCAGCUUGUUGGUGGGGUGAUGGCCUACCAAGGCGACGACGGGUAGCCGGCCUGAGAGGGCGACCGGCCACACUGGGGCUGAGACACGGCCCAGACUCCUACGGGAGGCAGCAGUGGGGAAUAUUGGACAAUGGGCGCAAGCCUGAUCCAGCGAUGCCGCGUGUGUGAAGAAGGCCUGCGGGUUGU
rnacentral:rRNA from 1 species